rnacentral:rRNA from 1 species
AUUGAACGCUGGCGGCAUGCCUUACACAUGCAAGUCGAACGGUAACGGGCCUUCGGGUGCCGACGAGUGGCGAACGGGUGAGUAAUACAUCGGAACGUGCCCGAUCGUGGGGGAUAACGAGGCGAAAGCUUUGCUAAUACAGCAUACGAUCUACGGAUGAAAGCAGGGGACCGCAAGGCCUUGCGCGGACGGAGCGGCCGAUGGCCGAUUAGGUAGUUGGUGGGAUAAAAGCGUACCAAGCCGACGAUCUGUAGCUGGUCUGAGAGGAUGAUCAGCCACACUGGGACUGAGACACGGCCCAGACUCCUACGGGAGGCAGCAGUGGGGAAUUUUGGACAAUGGGCGCAAGCCUGAUCCAGCCAUGCCGCGUGCAGGAUGAAGGCCUUCGGGUUGUAAACUGCUUUUGUACGGAACGAAAAGCCUUCUUUUAAUACAGGGGGGUCAUGACGGUACCGUAAGAAUAAGCACCGGCUAACUACGUG